rnacentral:lncRNA from 1 species
CCCCUCGCAUGAUUCCAAUACAUGUAAGUUUGCUGCAUAUUCAAUGCUGGAAAAGACUCGCACAACAAACAUGUGAAUUAGAAUAAUGAAUCAGUGAACAAGCAAAACACUACCUCUUACAGAGUAUAAAAUUUUCAUUUGAAGGGAGGAAUAGGAGAAACAAGCAAUUACAAAAAUAUCCCUCCCUCUCAUGCUAACAGAAUUAAGAGGUUUUCCCUACCUACAUAAUCUAAUCAGAGGUUCUCCUUCCUUCCCCAUCGACCUAAUUAGACUAUAAUUAAGAGGUCACCUUCAGUAUUCCUUUAUCAUCUUUCUCACCUUAAUUUCUUUUUGUACUCCUUCAUUUCUAGUUUAUUGAAAACUAUCCUUUUUAAAUGCAUUGAUAAUGCUACAUGAGUAAUUUAUUAUAGCAGUACGAUAUUUGCUUCUUUAUUUAUUUUUCCAAAAAUGACACUAACAUGCUAUUUAAGUAAUAUAUUUCUGGAUUAUAUGUCAUAUACGUCCAAAGAAAAUAAAUAUUAACAUGUUACUUAGGUUCUAUGCUUCUUAAUUAUCUAAAAUUGCCUUUUUAUUUUAUUUUUUAAGUCUCAUUCUUUCAGAUGAACAUGUGCUUAGAGCCUAGGCCCCAAGACUCCUUUACGCCUUAGUGAGCCUUGAGCCUUUAAUAACUAUGGAUCUUAUGUAAGUUUUUUUUAUUAUUAAUCAUGUAUAUAUGUUUGUAUGUUUAUGUGUGUCAUAGGUGUGUGGCAUGUUCCCCGUGUGUUAUGUUUUGAUUUUAUAAAAAUUGUUAAAGUCCAGAGCCGUCUCUUGUCCAUGUCCACAUAAUCUACGAUUGUACUAUUUUAAUUACGGACUUUUAGUAUCAAUUCAAAUGUCACAUUUCAGUCUCAAAAGCUUGGGGUCUAACAAGUCACCUUACUUUGUUAUUGCAAUUUUACUUGAUGCCUAUCCCUUCAACUUAUGGUUAUCAAAAGAGUACAACAUGCAGCAGUAGAGGUGAGCAUUCGAUCUGUUUGGUUCGAUUCGGUUCGGUUUGAUCCAUUUAAAUUUUUAAUAAUUUUUUUAUUUUUUACACUUUAUUUUUAGCAUUUUAAAAUUUAAUUGGAAUAUUUUAACCUUAAUAUGAUCUAAUCUCUCUAUAUUAUUGAAAAUAAUAUAUUAUUAUACUAAUCGGUUCGGUUCGAUUUUUUUAAUUUUUUUUUCUGAUCAGAAUCGAACCGAAAUAACCAAAAAUUUUGAAAUUAAAAACCAAAUGAAUAAAAAACCGAACCAAAUUUUCAAAUUAAUUCGGUUCGGUCGGUUUUUUCGGUUUGAACCGAAUACUGCUCAUCCCUAUGCGGCAGGAUUAAGUUAUAAAAAAAAAAUUGAUAGAUGCUAGAGUAGAGAGGCAAGAAGGCAGCAUAAAAGAUGUUGUCACUUGCAAAAGGCCUUGCAAGUUCAUUCCUAGGCAUCACAAUUCACAAUCAUUUUUGUAAACAAAAUAUAAAGUUGGCAAUAAGACCAUAUUUGUUUCUCAGAAGGACUUUCGGGAAUGAUGGCUAGGAAAGGGAUACUCCAUUGUCUAAUUAUCCUCAAAAGCAAAUCAACAAAUAAAUCCAGAUGCACAUCCAUUAACUCUAUUAUUUUCUCCAAACUAUUUGAGGUCACUGAUUCGAGACCAGGACAGCAUUCCGGACAAUGCAUUCAAACUACCUAAAGCAUUAAAGAAAGCCUCAAAAUCCUGAAGAUAACUCUUGCAUGAUAAAUAUAAUUGUAGAGAGAGGAAGAGAGAAAGAGAGAGAGAGGGGUUACGAGAUAACUCUUGAAUCAAGAUUCCCGUACUUUCCCUGGAAAAAGCUAGUUUGAAAUCUUGUGAAAGCAACGCCAACUUUUAAAUCUAUCUCUUGCCGUGCAUCUACAGCCAAUGCCUCGUCUCUGUUGGGUUGAGCAAGGUUGUCCAGAGCCUUGAAAAUGUCUUUCUCAGUUACUGAAGAAAACCGUGCACGAUAUACCCUUCUUCUAGCAUCAUUUACGCGAAAACCAGUACAUUCAAUCACUGCAAGAACAAUUAAAAUUUAGGAAAAUUAACUUCAAGCAAAAAAACUGAAACUAAAUUGCAAAUGCCAUAACCUGUUUUAUACAAACUAAAUUGCAAAUGAUAGAGAAACUGUUAGGCUGUAAUGAUGCUUUACAUUAGGAGAACAGGAGAAACUCUUCAACAGAUACUAAAAUAGUUUUAUCAAAAGAUGAGAGAUUCCCCAACCACCAUUGUAUGAGACUGAUAGAGACUAACUCACAGCGCGUAAUUUAAGAUGCCAAAAUACAAACCAAUUUACUGAAUUUCACAAACAGGUCAUUCACAACCUAUAUGAAGGCUUCAAAUAAAUGAGAUGCUAAAAAAGUUCUUAGCAAUCACAACUCCAAAGCAAGAGAUAUAGCAGUAAACUUGCAAUCAAAUCAAAAACAUAACAGAUCAAACAUCACCCAAUGUUCCAAAGGUUGACAUGUGUGAAGAUACCAAUAGAAACACAAGAAAAGCCAAUGAAACUCUCAGGACAGCGCCAAUCACGUUGAGACAACGUUGGAGAGAGGAGUCACCCCAAAAAUAACCAUCACAAACUGGUGCAUAAGACGGCAGCAAAAGAUAAUGGAGAUUCAUGGGCUGUAUUCAAUAGUUUGGUGACUUGGACUUCUUAGAAACUACCGUUAGGUGGUCAAAAAACCUUUUCUAGCUAGCAAUGAGAGAAAUUGGUCUUCAAUUGGUGACCUAAUUUUCGUUGUGGAAGUUUGAAUUUCUGUGUAUAUUUCUCUGAGAAUGAUAAAAUAUUUAUAUACAAAAUAUCCUAUAAUCAUAUAUUCUAACUAGGAAAAUAUCCCUUUAAUUAUGCUAAUGUAUCCUAUAAGUAUGCUAAUAAUAUUUAAAUAAUUGACUUACUAUAAUACUCCCUCUCAAGUUGAAGCAUAUAUGUUAGGUAAAGUACACUUUAAUCCCUGAAUUUUAGCGUUACUAAUGGAUCUGUCCCUGUAUUUUUUAAAUUGAAUACUUAAAUUCCUCGAAAAUAAGUAUGUCCAAAUUAGAAGUCUUUUCAUCCAUAAUUCUAUUAAUCAACAAGCCAAAAGGAAAACAAACAUUUCAAAUAACUAAAAUACCUCAUGAACACUUAAAUCCCUACCAAUGUGAGUGAAGCAUUUUAUAUUGCAUCUUUAAAUCCCUCUAUAUUCAGUCGGUCCAAAACCAUUGUUCUUCCAUCCAUUAUACACAAUAAUUCAAAGCUAAUAGGUGGUCAAACAUCUAAAAAUACAAUUUUCUUCCUAAAAUAUCUUUGUGAAAGUCUACAAUAUAUUUUAAGUCUACUUGAUACCACUUAAAAAUAGCUGAAAAUCUAAAGUUGUAAACUUUUUCUUAAAGUUUUGAAAUCAUCAAAUAUUGAAGUAUUUUAAUGAAUAGAAAUUGAAGGACAAGUAUUAAAAAUUAGUUGAAUGUGAUAAUCUGAACAAAAAUUAAGGGGGACUUAAGUGUGCUUUCAAAUGAAAAAUGAAAGACCAAAGUGUUUAAAUUUUGAUAGAUAAGGAAAAAAGGACGGAAUCCUAAUUUUUUAAUAUUUUUAAUUUAAAAAGAGGGCAAUAAAAAUAUUUGUACGCUUUUAAUGGCAACAAAAUAAAUGAACAUGCUAGAGUUUAGACGAACUGAUUAUAAAAAGAUUUAAGUAUCAAUUUUAAAAAUAUACAAACUUAUUCAUUAAUUAUGCUAAAACUUAAGAAUUAAAGUGUAAUUUCCCCCUUUAAAAGGGUAAGAAAGACAUCUCCGACAAACAAUGAAUGAAAGGACCGCUUAUACAUAUUGGAAGGGAAUCCAAAUUCUGGUUCAUCUCAAGCUUUUUUUAGAGAAAAUAAGGAUGUCAAUUAAGAAAUCAUAUAGUGGCAUAAACCAUUAGGACAUCUAUCAUUUUAUGUUCUAGAAACACUUUAUCUAAUAAGUAAGGACUCAAUUUGGUUCUUUAUUUUGUUCUUUAUUUUGUGAUGCUUAUAAGCAUGCUAAGCAUACAAGAAGCUCUUAUUCUUUGAGAAAUAAUAGGAGUAUGACCCUUUUUAUGACUAUCCAUUCUGCUUUUAGGGACCUACACAGACUAUUUCCCUAUCUGUUAGUCAUUGAUUUGUUACUUUUAUUGAUUGCUACACUUGAAUGACUUGGGUUUAUUUGAUAAAGACAAAAUGUGAUGUGUUUUCUUGUUUUUAAUCUUUUCACAAGAUUUGUUUAUACUCAGUCUAGUAGGAUACUACAUCAAACUUGUUGUCCCUGCACUGGUGCCCAAAAUAGUGUUGUUGAAAGGAAAAUAGGCACCUGUUGGAAGUAACAGGAUCUCUUCUUUUCACCAUAAAUCUUCAAAAAACCUAUUGAGGAGAUGUGGUCUGCUUAUCUCGUUAAUAAAAUGCCUCUCAAAGCUAUUGCCUUUAAAAGUCCCCUCUUGCCUUUAAAGGUCCUUUAGAGGUGCCACAAGAAAGAAUUGCUUAUAAUGCUCCACUCAAGAUGUUUGGAUGUACGUGCUUUGUUCAUGCUAAGAUAAUUGGGAAAGUAGAUCCCAUGGCUUUUAAAUGUGUGUUCGUUGGGUAUUCUCCCACACAAAAGGAUUACAAGUGUUACCCUCCUCCAUCUAGAAAACAUUUUAUCAGUAUGGAUAUUACGUUUAGAGACUGAACCUUACUUCAGUACCACCUCAUCACCUCUCCAAGAGCAAUGAGAGAGAAGAUUCCUAAUCCUAUAACUCUAGAGCAUUUUACUCAAAGAACGACUAUUGUUGAUCAGGGAGAGAUAACUGAAUAUUUAGAUAAACCAGAUUUAAGAAGAUACUCAAGAAGUAGAAAAAGUCAUUGUGCAACCUACUCGCUGUCAAGAAUUUUCCUCGUAUCCAUCUGGUGAGUUAUUUCUAACCCUUGAACCCAUUGAUGAUCUAAAUAAAUCAACUGAUAAAAAAAAAAGGAAUUAUGUCGUGCACUAAACACUUUAUUUCUAACUUUCUCUCUCAUGACUCCUUGUCUCCAUCCUAUAAAGCUUUUAUCUUGUCUAUUUCCUCUAUAUCUAUCCCACAAAAUUAAAAGAAAGCUUUCAAAUAUUCUAAAUGGAAGAGAGCAAUGGUCGAAGAAAUGAAAGGCUCGGCAAAAUUGAGACCUAAGAGUUUGUAUCUAUUCCACCUAGAAAAAAACCAAUUGGUUGUGUUGAAUCUCACAUCGGUUGUGGAAAGGGGUAAUGUGCCCCUUAUAUGAGCCAUAGGCACUCCUCCCCUUGAGCUAGCUUUUGGGGUGAGUUAGGCCUGCCCCAAAUUUAAACAUGGUAUCAAAGUCUCUCCAUCCGAUGUUGGGCCUCCUAUAAAUAUGUCACACACCAGUAAAAUUCUGAGCGUGAGGGGGGUGUGUUGAAUCCCACAUCAAUUGUGGAAAGGGGUAGUGUGCCCCUUAUAUGGGCCAUAGGCACUCCUCCCCCUUGAGCUAGCUUUUGGGGUGAGUUAGGCCUAGCCCAAAUUUAAACAGGUUGCAAUUGGUAUUCACUGUGAAACACAAAGCUGAUGAUUUAAUUGAAAGGUUCAAGGCUAGAUUGGUUGCCAAGGAAUUCACUCAAAUUUAUGGAGUGGAUUACCAAAAAACAUUUGCCUUUAUUGCUAAAACAAACUCAAUUAGUGUUCUAUUAUCUUGCGCUACUAAUCUUGAUUAGGACUUACAGCAAUUUGAUAGGAAAAAUGCAUUUUUCCAUGGAAAUUUAGAAGAUAAGGUGUAGAUGGAGAUUCCUCCAAGCUUUGCUAAUGAGAAAGCCCAAAAAAAGGUAUGCAGAUUGAAGAAGGCCUUGUAUGGACUAAAACAGUCGCCUAGAGCAUAGCUUGACAAAUUUAGCAAACCCAUGAUUUCUUUUGAUUAUCAAUAGAACAAUGUUGAUCAUACCCUAUUUAUGGAUAAAAUCACUCUUUUUAUAGUUCAUGAUGACAUCAUUAUGAUAGGAGAUGACAAAGAAAAAAUGGCUCGUUUAAAGAAGCUUUUUGGCUCAGGAAUUUGAGAUGACAAAUCUAGGAAAGCUUCAGUAUUUUCUAGGAGUUGAGGUUGCCAGAUCAAAGAGGGAAAUCUUUAUUUCUCAGAGGAAGUAUAUUUUGGAUCUUCUUGAAGAGACUAGUAUGUUAGGCUGCAAACCAGUAGAGUCUCCCAUGAAGUGCAAUCAAAAGCUAUAACUAGAAUUGGUGAGUCUAUGGAUUGGUAGGUACUAAAGAUUAGUGAGGAGAUUGAUUUAUCUCUCACACAUUCGACUAAACAUUGCAUAUACAGUUAGCUUAGUAUGUCAGUUCAUGCAUGAUGCACGCGACUCACAUAUACAAGCUGUUUUCUGCAUUCUGCAACAUAUUAAGUCUAUUCUUGGGAAAUGUCUCCUUUUCUCCAAACAUGAUAAUCUUUAAGUAGAAGCCUUUACAAAUGCAAAUUGGGUUGGAUCACCUUAUGAUAAGAGAUCAACCUUUGGUUGCUGCACAAUAGUGGUGGGAGGAAACCUUGUUACUUGGAGAAGUAAAAUGCAAACUGUUGUUGCUCGGUUAAGUGCUAAAGUCGAGUAUAGAGCAAUGGCUCAAGGAGCACACGAACUUUUGUGGUUGCAAAGGCUAUUGGAGGAAUUGAAAGGGCAAAUUACUCAUGCACUUUGACAACAAAGCUGCCAUCAAUAUAGCUCAAAACCUGAUCCAACAUACAAACAAAGUACAUAAAGAUUGAUUGGCACUUCAUUAAAAAUAAUAGAUGGUGUCUUGAACUUAGCCCAUGUGACUUCUGGCAUGCAACUAGCUGAUGUGUUCACUAUGGGCUUAAUAAUAGGACCUAUCACAACUUGGUUUGCAAAUUGGGCAUUAGUAAUAUCUAUUCACUAACUUGAGGGGGAGUGUUGACCAGUAAGGAGAUCUUUAGGAUAUAAUUACAAAGAUUAAGGGUUGAUCUCAUGCCAUAUUUUAGACUAAAUUAUAGGACAUAAUUGUAGAGAUUUUAUUCCUUCUAAUUUUCUUAUUAGCUUUGAUUCUUUAUGUAUAAAUUAGAAUGCACAUAGCUUAUAAAUAUCAAUUUUUACAGUAAUAAACUCUCUCAAAAUCUUCAAAAAGGUUGCUACCUAACUUCAAAUUCAUAUUAUGUUGAUAGCAAGAUUUUCUUAUCUGUUGUGAUUGUGUCCCAAUAAGAAAGCUUUACUACUACCUUUUGGUUGCAAAGUGAUUUGUGUUUCGCUAAGUAGUUUCCUCACAAAUUGCACAUUCACUAUUUGAUGUAAAGUCACAUUGUUGGACUACAAGAAAUCAACAAAUAUAACAAGAUGAAUGUGUUUGGUGGAUGAACAGGCAAGCGAUCACAAUAAAAUUAAGAAAUCUUGAUCAAACCCAGUCUGAUACCAAAUUAACAUACAACCAAUAGAGUGAUCAAAAGGGAAAGAACUAAAACUCUCAAAUUUAUAUUAAUCCUCAAUUUCAAUUGUCAACAACAACUACUACUACCACUGCAAUAAGAAGAAGAAGAAGAAAAAGAACUAAAACUCUCAAAAUUAAAACGAGAACAAGAACAAGCUCUCAGAGAAUACUUGAAUUACGUUAGUAUUUAUAGACUAAUAACUAAUCCUAUUGCUAUUAGGAUUAGGAAUUUAGGAAAGGGGCCAAAAUACGAAAACACUACAUCAAUGCCAACUAGAAAAUUGCUAAACCUAAAAUGAAGGAAUUAUUCAUAAAAAAUAAUAGAAUUGCAGGAAUUAUUCUUAAAGAAUAAUAGAAUAGCUAAAUAAUAGAAAAACAGACUUUCUAAUUGUACUAGAAAAUUAGAUUGAAGAUUUUUUUAAUUUCAAAAUAAUUCCCAAAUCUAGUUCUUGGCAACAUUAUGUAGAACCAAUAGUACAAACAAAUGUGAAAGAACUAAAACUAACCAAUUUAUGUUAAUUCCCAAUUUCAAUGGUUGAUCAUAAAGGCUACAUCUUUACUCAAUUACUAUAUCUCUUUAUAUAGUACAUAUUGCAUAUUUAUAAUACUAAAACUACCAAGAUUUAAAUUUUUAAAUUCAGGAAGACAUAUCCCUCAAAUUAAGAGACAAUUCAUUCCUAAAUUAAGGAGUAAUCUUCUCCAUAGUUUAAGGACAAUCUCAUCCAUUUUGACACUCACCUUAAUGAGAUUAUUAUUAUUAUUCUAUCCAAAGGUCAACUCAUAAGUAACACAAAACAUCAAAACUAAAACCAACAGUAAAAAAGUGACCCAAAAGUUCUCCUUGGAAGCAUUGCAAUGGGUCUAGGACCAAAGCAGGUGUACAAACACCUUCAAAAGGAAGCAACAAACUUGGUGUUAGAGACGCAUUCGUCGACAAGGCUUAUGCAAGAAGAGGACAAUCAGAACUACAGGAUAAAGAAGGAAAGAACGUCUCAAUUAGCAGCAAUGAUUGAUCAUGAUUUCAGCAGCAAUUUAAGAUAGUAAUCAGCAGAAAUUUAAGAUUGUAAUAAGCUUAAUUCAAGCCUUUAAGUUUAGGCUGCAAUUAAGCUUGUCUUUCCUUGUUAAAUUCCAUGGAAUCUCUCUAUAUAAGGAGAACAUGUUUAUGAAAUAAAGACAUGCAGAAUUUGAUUACCAACACAAGAGGUCUUAAGCUCCCUCUCACGAGCUUUCUUCUGUGUCAUCAUAGGUCAUUCCAGGAAGGGUCGAAAUAUCAACAAAGGGGAUCUGUCCCUUUUCACUGAGGAUUUCACUUUUUCACGACCUGUGACUUGAUUCUCUCUCAGGGCACACAACACUUGGCUAGGCUUCCUGCUCCCCAUUGAAAGUUGGUUAAAAGAACAGGGCUUUAGGAUUGAAAUUUACGGAGAAAGAGAGUUUAGGGACUCAAACCAAUCGGAAGGAGAACAGCUUUUGGGACUCAAACCAUAGCUUUAUGAAGAAAAAGAAACAUAGUAGGGACUUCAAACCCUGGUCAUAAAGGAGAAGAGGUGCAAGGACUUCACCCAGGCUCUAAAAGGAAUGCAAAAGGAGAGGAAUGCCCAAAACUUUGAGGAGAAAGGAGAUCCAAUAUCUUAUACCACAAACCCAAGCCUAUUGUAAUUGAGGAGAAAUAAAUUCUGCCCAUUAAAGCGUACUCGUAGGACCAAGAAAUUCAUUUGUAAUACUCUAAGGAAUAACUGCAACUUUUUGUAAGAAUCCCUAUAGAUGAAACCCUAAAAUCACAGUAGGUGAAACACACAAUACCCAAAAAAAAUUGAUGACAAAGCAACAGCCAAGAGAAAAGGGAAAGUGAGCUGGGACUCCAAACCCAACUUUGAAUUGCGAAGAAGAAGAGCAGGAAAAGAGACUCAAAAAUUUUAAUGGCUUUGAUACCAUGUGAAGUUUUU